UACGUAGGGGGCAAGCGUUGUCCGGAAUCAUUGGGCGUAAAGCGUGUGUAGGCGGUCUCAUAAGUCGGGUGUGAAAGCCCAGGGCUCAACCCUGGAAGUGCACUCGAAACUGCGAGGCUUGAGUACCGGAGAGGUUGGUGGAAUUCUCGGUGUAGAGGUGAAAUUCGUAGAUAUCGAGAGGAACACCGGUGGCGAAGGCGGCCAACUGGACGAGUACUGACGCUGAGACACGAAAGCGUGGGGAGCAAACAGG
rnacentral:rRNA from 1 species